rnacentral:tRNA from 1 species
GGAGAGGUGUCAGAGCGGUCGAAUGAGCACGCUUGGAAGGCGUGUGGCGAUCGUAAGAUUGCCCUAGGGUUCGAAUCCCUACCUCUCCGCCA